UCUUUUUGGCUUUUCAGAUUGACCACCAACUUCAAAACAACUCAAACCCUAGCCCCAUGUUUCCUUAUACCUUUCAUACAAACACAAACCUGCACAUAAUCGAGAGAGAGAGGCUCCCCCACCCUCUCACUCAUCUGACUUUCCGGCAACGAGAGAAGGGGUUUCCGGCGCCGCUUUUCCGGCAAGUCACACCCAACAAAACCAAGCUCUUCAGCCCUCUCCCUCUCUCCAACCCUCGCUUCUCUCUUUCUGAUGGAGUAACGGCCGACCAUCGGUGGGUGGUGGCGGCGCACGGCAACAGCGGUCGCAGGAAUGCGGUGUCAGAGUGUUGGAUCGAGGCGGAGGAAGUGUGGAGGUUUCCGUUUACCUGCAUCAUAUUCAUGGCAUCAUGAUGCUCUGAUUUGUGGUUACGAAGCCUACACAUGAUGGAAUACAUUGGUGUAUAAAAAAAUUAGAUGAAGAUUGAUCGGAGGUAAGCACCAUCCCAACACCGCUAAUACAUCUACUCUCGCUCUGUCGGAGAUUCAAUCGCAUGGAACCCUUUUCAAUUUCAAUCCCCCUUUCCACUGCAAGGAAGACACACAGGUACAUCAGCGCUGUUGGUGAUGACAACUAAGAUUGUGUUGAGUUUAAAACAUGUGAUUGGCACUCCUUGGUGAGGAAGAAUUGCAUGCAGCAGUGAAAUUGCAACCUAAGAGCUGAUCUGGGGAUUUCUGCACUAAGGUAAAAGUUAUCUUAAUUUAUAUGUCGGUGUUUUUUAAUCUGUGUGUUUUGUAAAAACUGGUGUUCAAGUGUUCAACUCAAUCAAGGACUACCAUUUCAAUGUUAAUUUAGCCUGUUUUUAUGCUGA